rnacentral:rRNA from 1 species
CGCGCCUUAAAGACCUCGGCGAGGCCUCACCGGCUUUAGGCGUAGUAGAAUUUAUUCGAACGUCUGUCAAUGGAGAGGACUUCUGCCGACUGAAACCUUUAUUUUUUACAGGUUGACCUCGGAUCAGGUAGGGAUACCCGCUGAACUUAAGCAUAUCAAUAAGCGGAGGAAAAGAAACCAACAGGGAUUGCCCUAGUAACGGCGAGUGAAGCGGCAACAGCUCAAAUUUGAAAGCUGGCCUUCGGGUCCGCAUUGUAAUUUGUAGAGGAUGCUUUGGGUAAAACGCCAGUCUAAGUUCCUUGGAACAGGACGUCAUAGAGGGUGAGAAUCCCGUAUGUGACUGGAAAUGUUAACCUAUGUAAAGCUCCUUCGACGAGUCGAGUUGUUUGGGAAUGCAGCUCUAAAUGGGAGGUAAAUUUCUUCUAAAGCUAAAUAUUGGCGAGAGACCGAUAGCGCACAAGUAGAGUGAUCGAAAGAUGAAAAGCACUUUGGAAAGAGAGUUAAAAAGCACGUGAAAUUGUUGAAAGGGAAGCGCUUGCAAUCAGACUUGUUUAAACUGUUCGGCCGGUCUUCUGACCGGUUUACUCAGUUUGGACAGGCCAGCAUCAGUUUCGGCGGCCGGAUAAAGGCUCUGGGAAUGUGGCCUCCACUUCGGUGGAGGUGUUAUAGCCCAGUGUGUAAUACGGCCAGCCGGGACUGAGGUCCGCGCU